AUUUGAAUGUAUAUAUGUAAGGUAUACAACAUGAUGUUUUAAGAUAUAGCUAUAGAUAGUAAAAUUAUUACCAUAGUGAUGCAAAUUAAUUUGUUCAUGUUACCUAGUUACCCAUUAUUUUUCUUUCCUUGAUAUAUAAUAUUUUACAUAUUUAUGGGGUAUAUGUGAGUGUUUGUUGCAGGGAUAGAAUAUGUAAUGGUCCCAUUGUUACUGCAAUACCAAGGGUUUGGUCUAGGCCCUACUGCUCACUGCACAGAAAGCCAAUCACUGAGAUGAUGAGUACUGCCAAGGAAGAAGGCUUUAACUUGGUGCUGCAGCCAAGGAGAUGGGAGCUCAGUCUCCAAUUCAUCUCCCUGACUGACUAACUAUGGGUUUAUAUAGCAGGGAAGAAAUGUAACCAUGCAUAAGAAAACAGGAACUAAGGAGGGGCAAGGAAGCCAUCAUCAUGAAUGAGAAGUCUGACAACUGGUGCUGUGAUCUGCUAAUUACCAAGAGCACUUUAAGCACACUGGUGGAUUUAAACAAUGUGAAUAAGUAAGAUUGUGAUUUGGCUUUGACAAAGGCAGAGUCAAGCUGGCUUUGUCAUGUAAAGGGCCUGAGACGGCCACAUGGUAUGUUUAAUUGAUGUAAGUACCAGAAAAUGGCAUAAAUGAGUACAGAAUUUAGUUUAAGGGCAUGAUAAACAUGGGAAGGAAAGAAAUGAAAAGAACUAAGAUGUGGGUGAAAAUAUUUGGAGGCGAUGAAUUGAUUACAGAUGAUUAUUGAAAGCUGUUGGCCAUAACACUCCCAGAGGCCUCAUUGUACGGGUUCAAGAAACUGUCAUAAGAGAAUUCUGAAAGCCAAGAAAUCAAACUUAAGAAGUAACACUUUUGGUGGAACCACAAACGGAAAAGAGUCUUGGGUCCUGAAUCAUGGUUUGGAGAAGACCUUUAUGCCUAUUAGGAGCCAAAAGCCUAAAACUCUAAACUUAAAACACAAGCAAUAGAAUGUUGAUUCUGUCCUGUCUGCAGUAUACAGGAUUAGCUUUUUCUGUUAAGAUAAAACUAGGAAAUAAAGUUGUGUGUGGAAGCAAUAAAAAUCUGAACUAUUCCUACAUGUAAUUCUAGAAAUUUAUAGGUGCUACAUUUUUUGAAAAUUUUAAUGACAUAUAUAAGAAGGAAAAUCAAAUUAAAAAUUCAAGUUGAUGUUAUCUUUAAAAAAAAGUAAUAGUUCAUCCUGUUCAUUCAUAAUCUAAAUUAGGUAAAAACCAGUGAUAAAAUAUUGUGUGUUAUUUUAAAAUAUAUGUAUAUCUACACAAACGAUAUUAUAUAUACAAAUACUCGUACUCAUGUACACACCCUAUCAUUAAUAAAGCAUCAUUGUUUAAUUUUAGGAAAAAAAUAACUACAAUUGGGAAUAAAAUUGAUUGCCCUAUUACAUCCAAAAGUCACCAUUCAUUGAUUAUUUUUUCACUUGUGAUUUAUUUUCCCUCAUGUUUCAUUUUCGGAACUUGUGUUUUCCCUUGAAAUACAAGAAUGCUUACUUUAUAAAAAUACACUGUGAUCCUAAUUCUUAGAUGUCAGUUAUUUUAGGUGGUUUAUAGCUCAACCUUUAAAGAGGUGCAGAAAUGCUAAGAGGAUUUGAGUUUUGAUCGUUGACAUUUUACCAAAUAGAAGUAGAAUUGGAGUGGAACCAAAUGGGGUUGGAGAUAGGAGCAGUACAAUUCAACAGCAGAGGUAUAGUGCAUCUAGGCCUGACUUCAUGUCAGCCCUUUCAUUAAGUAGACCUGUAAUGUCAGGUACACCACUUAACCUCUCUAAGCUUAAGUCUCCUCAUCUCUACACAGAGGGGAUAUUGCCAGUUGGGUUUCCUGGGAAGAUGACUUUGAGACGGAGAUCGGCAUCCAGCCUGUUAAUUAUGGAAUGUUCUUGGGAUCAACACCUAUGGGAGGGAGGGAACAGAAGCAGGAUUUGGCUGUGAUGCAGUCCUAAUGGAAUUAAAUAAAGUCCUUAGGAAAAUAAUUUUCUUCCUACUAAAGCAAUAAAAACUUGUUUGAUAUUAGGAUUUAUAAUGGCUUAUAAUGGAACUGUUGGCUUCACUCUGUUAGGGGCAAUACCUGUGCCAAGAAGAAUCUCUGAGUGGAAACUGUUGCUUUAAUUUAUAUUAUUGUAGCAACAUUAUUGUAAAAUUACCUUUUAAAUUGAGAAAAAAUUUUAAUUAAAAUUAAUCUUAUAAAAUGUAAAAGAAAAUAUUCAAUUGGCAUCUUGUCAAUCGAGAUUAUUUUAAAAUAGUAAUUAUUAUUGAAAAUGUAUUUUUCUGCAAAUGACCUCAACUUCUGUUACAAAUUAAAAUGAGCUUAUACCUACAUUUUACCAGACGCUUCAGUUUGUACUAUGAAAAACCAAAUUAUCUUUUCUCCACUGACA
rnacentral:lncRNA from 1 species